GACGAACGCUGGCGGCGUGCUUAACACAUGCAAGUCGAACGGAAAGGCCCUGCUUUUGUGGGGUGCUCGAGUGGCGAACGGGUGAGUAACACGUGAGUAACCUGCCCUUGACUUUGGGAUAACUUCAGGAAACUGGGGCUAAUACCGGAUAGGAGCUCCUGCUGCAUGGUGGGGGUUGGAAAGUUUCGGCGGUUGGGGAUGGACUCGCGGCUUAUCAGCUUGUUGGUGGGGUAGUGGCUUACCAAGGCUUUGACGGGUAGCCGGCCUGAGAGGGUGACCGGGCCCAGGCGGCUGCGGGAGGCACCAGGACGCAUUCGGGGGCGAGGGGCGGGAAAUUUACGAAGAAGGGCGGAGGGAUGAAGGAGGGGCGCCGGAUCGGGAAACUCGGCUUUGAGGUUGAAACCCAUUUUCGCGUGGGAAGAAACGUAGUGACGGUAAAUGGGUAAAAAGCCACGGCUAAAUAAGGG
rnacentral:rRNA from 1 species